rnacentral:lncRNA from 1 species
CUGGAGUACAACGGCACAAUCUUGGCUCACUGCAACCUCUGCCUCCCAGGUUCAAGUGAUUCUCCUGCCUCAGCCUCACGAGUAGCUGGGAUUACAAGCAUGCCCCACCAAGCCUGGCUAAUUUUUGUAUUUUUAGUAAAGAUGAGGUUUUACCAUGUUGGCCAGGCUGAUCUUGAACUCCUGACCUCAAGUGAUCCGCCCGCCUCAGCCUCCCAAACUGCUGGGAUUACAGGCGUGAGUCACUAUGCCUGGCCUGGGCAUGCAUCUUCAAUAAGCUUCCCAGGGGCAUUCAUCAUGUUACAGAUCUGGAAGGCAAGAGGAGACAAAUGGUCUGAAAUAUUGUGUAGUGGAGCCCUCUUGAUCCACAAAGCAGAAUAAGAAAGAACGCAUUGGGAGUGAGGAUUUUCUACACGGCUCUUGACUGCUUGCGGGCAAAUGGACCUCAACUAGGCCACAGCUGCUAACAACUCAUUCAAGAUGGCUUCCCUGCUGCUAAUUAAAUCACUGGAGGAUAUGUGGUACCGUCUCUGCCCCUUCCCACUCCCCCAGACUCCAGGGAAUCCCCUUCAAAUUCAAAGCAACAGGCUGCUCAGGCCAAGGGGAGGAGAAAGCUGAGAAAUUCUAGCUCUGCUACAGCCAGUAUGAGCAGCAGAGCUAGGAUUGCUUUUUUUCUUCUUCUUCUUCUUCCUAAAGUGAGAUUUGGGUUAGAAGAUGAUGGUUAAGAGGCAGGAGGAAACAGCCAGAUAAGUUUUUAGUUACACCAAAGUAAGGAUUCAGUGAGAGAUAUCACUUUACUUAGUGGAAUUCACAGACUAUUGCUCACAUCUAUAAGGACAAGAAAUCACUCAACUUUGGGUCAU